rnacentral:rRNA from 1 species
UACGGGGGGGGCAAGCGUUGUUCGGAAUUACUGGGCGUAAAGGGCUCGUAGGCGGCCAACUAAGUCGGAUGUGAAAUCCCCAGGCUUAACCUGGGAAUUGCAUCCGAUACUGGAUGGCUUGAAUCCGGGAGAGGGAUGCGGAAUUCCAGGUGUAGCGGUGAAAUGCGUAGAGAUUUGGAGGAACACCAGUGGCGAAGGCGACUUUCUGGUCUGUAACUGACACUGAGGCGCGAAAGCGUGGGGAGCAAACAGG